rnacentral:rRNA from 1 species
UCCUGGCUCAGAACGAACGCUGGCGGCGUGCUUAACACAUGCAAGUCGAGCGCGAAAGGGACUUCGGUCCUGAGUAAAGUGGCGCACGGGUGAGUAACGCGUAGAUAACCUGUCUUCAUGUCUGGAAUAAUACGCCGAAAGGGGUACUAAUACCGGAUAUUCUUGCUUUUCAUAAGUUAUGCAAGCAAAGGUGGCCUCUGCAUAUGCUACUGCAUGAAGAGGGGUCUGCGUACCAUUAGCUAGUAGGUGGGGUAAUGGCCUACCUAGGCGACGAUGGUCAGCGGGUCUGAGAGGAUGAUCCGCCACACUGGCACUGGAACACGGGCCAGACUCCUACGGGAGGCAGCAGUGAGGAAUAUUGCGCAAUGGGGGAAACCCUGACGCAGCGACGCCGCCGUGAGUGAGGAAGGCCUUCGGGUCGUAAAGCUCUGUUUUAAGGGACGAAGUCUCUCUUGGGUAAUAUACGAGAGAGGUGACGGUACCUUAAGAGAAAGCCCCGGCUAACUACGUGCCAGCAGCUGC